rnacentral:rRNA from 1 species
CUACGAAGGGGGCUAGCGUUGUUCGGAAUUACUGGGCGUAAAGCGCACGUAGGCGGAUAUUUAAGUCAGGGGUGAAAUCCCAGAGCUCAACUCUGGAACUGCCUUUGAUACUGGGUAUCUUGAGUAUGGAAGAGGUAAGUGGAAUUCCGAGUGUAGAGGUGAAAUUCGUAGAUAUUCGGAGGAACACCAGUGGCGAAGGCGGCUUACUGGUCCAUUACUGACGCUGAGGUGCGAAAGCGUGGGGAGCAAACAGGAUUAGAUACCCUAGUAGUCC